CGAAACUAAAACUGAACUGGCUACAAAGUAUACAAAAACAGAAUGCUGGACGACAGCAAAGACUUACUGUGGAGCAAACAAGGGUCCACAAUGUACAUCUGAACAUGACAUGACAACAAUGUCCACACAAAGAAGGAUAAAAACAACUGAAAUAUUCUUGAUGGCUAAAACAAAGUAAAUGCGGGAAAUAUCGCUUAAAAUAAGACAUGAAACUGCUAUAGGAAAACACCAAAAUAGGAGCGCAAGACAAAAACUAAAACUCUACACAGGAAAACAGCAAACAAGUCCAAACAAGUCAGGGUGUGAUGUGACAGGUGGUGACAGUACACCUAAUUUGAGACAAGAGCUAUAUCAAUUAAUGCUUGGUUAUGCCUUAAAGUCAUAGCCAACAAUUGCGACAACGACUUUUUACUGUCAACUGAGUUUUGUUUUUUUAGUAUUUCUGCUGGUGGUGUACCUCCCCAUUUCUUCAAUUCCUUGGCUCAAAAAAGGUUGAAAAACUAUGCUAUUGGGUAAAGAAACAUUUAUGUUGGGUCUUGUUUGUUGAAUGUGUGAAGAAUAUAUGUAUGACCAGCGUUUAAAAGUCACUGUGGACUUCAACAGUGAGGUGCACUUCCUCCUUUUAGUCAGCAGGGAGCAGCAUUGCCUAGUUUACAGCAAUACCCCAAAAAAGGAGUCCCUUUCCGGUCUAGUUUAAACUCGUUCGGUGAAGAUUACAAACAUUUUAAUCUGCUUAAUUCUCCCGCCAAACAAAGUAUCAUCGGAUAAUUCUGGAAAAUCCCUGAGAUUAUAUGGUACCUGAAAGUCGGAGGGGUGUAGCCACGGGUGUGGUGACCGCCAGUGUCUCCGUGGGAAGCCACGUUUCUCGACGAGGCAAGGCAGCCGGGCUGAGAUUUUUUUUUUUUUCCCCUCCACGGUGUAAGCAUCUGGCCGUUGGGAGGAGGCAAGAAAGUCCGCAGCUGCAGGAAGAACGACGCAAACUCUCCGCUCAUGUCUACGGCUCUCAUAUCGGUGCUUGGUGGUCUGAAGAACCCCCUGGAGGGCAAGCCCCUGUCAUGACUUGGACUUUGGGAUAUUUUGUUUUUCCAAUGCAAAGGAUAAUUGGCACGAGCCAGGCGUGAACUUUGAUCCUAGUUAAGGUCAAUAAACCUGCAGACAAGAAGACGUUUUCGAUGAAGAAAAGGUGUGAGGGUAAAGCCAAGAUAUAAUCUUUCUACCUGAGAUGGCGGACGUACACGGGCUGUCGGGGUCAAAUGGACAUCGUCCUCGGCCACUCGUGACGCUCUCUUCUUUAAGCGCAAACAGCGUGUCCUACGAAACAGUCACACAGAGAUCAGCUGAGCUUGCGCCGUCCAUGCAGCUGCCGUCGACUUCCCUCAGAGACUGGCGUCAAGACACCCGUGGACACACCCCCUCCGACUAUCAGUUAAUUAGUCCCCAGCGAGGCACACCUGCAACAAAUCCUACCCAGGUGUAUUUAAGCUGGUCACCGACAGCUGGGUCAGGCCGGUUAUUCUCUCCUGUACCUCCCAUGUGCGGGCGCCUGUUUCACUUCGUCAGUCCUGAAAGAUAUUGUCUUGACCCGGGAUCUACAAAGCGAAGAGGAAGCAGGACCCGACUCCACUACAGGGACCUCUUCUUUGAACUGUUUUGCGACCUUUUCUGUGAGCUGUUUUAAUCAAAGCAUUCUUCUAUCUGAGGUUCAGUACUGGCCCAUUGGAUCUGCGAGAAAAUGGUCUUCAUUCUCACCUCGUCAUGGUUCGUGUUCACCUGGUCCAGGCUGAGGGAGAACAGAGUAUUCUUGGCCCCCACAUAAAGCCUCUUGUGGCCCUCGUCCAGCAGCAUGGUCUGGGGUUGGAUGGGCACUCCGUGGCCCUGGAACAGCCAGGUCCUGUUCAGCUGCCAGAGCUCUGCGGCAGAGAAAAUAUCCACAUGGAACUGAACACAAGGGUUCCAACAACAACAUUGCAGCUGUUUGGCACGUCAAAUAGAGCAAAAGUUCACCUUUUUCCCCAGGUUGUAAAACUCCUGGACAGGGUCAAGAAUGACCUAAGAGUUGUAAUUAUUAUUUGUUUAUAUUAUUUAUUAGCUAACAGUUAAUAGAACCUAUGGUUGAUAUUCUAUCUUUGUGUUCAUUGUCUCUUUAUCUGGGAGAUGAUAACAACUAUCUAUCCAUCUAUCAAUCUAUCUAUCCGUCCAUCCAUCCAUCCAUCUAUCUAUCUAUCCAUCCAUUCAUCAAGUUAGCUAGGCAUCUAUCUAUCCAUCUAUCUAUCUAUCUAUCUAUCCAUCCAUCCAUUUAGCUAUCGGUUGUCAAAAAUCUUAAAUGUUUUAUUUGUUCGAUAAAAUUAUAUCUAUCUAUCCAUCCAUCCAUCCAUCCAUCAAUCUAUCAGUUGUCAAAAAUCGUAUUGGUUUAUUUGUUCGAUAAAAUAAAAUCUAUCUAUCUAGCUAUCUAUCUAUCUAUCUAUCCAUCCAUCUAUCAGUUGUCAAAAAUCUCAAAUGUUUAUUUGUUUGAUAAAAUCUUAUCUAUCCAUCGAUCUAUCUAUCUAUCUAUCUAUCAGUUGUGAAAAAUCUUAAAUGUUUAUUUGUUCGAUAAAAUCUAUCUAUCUAUCUAUCUAUUUAUCUAUCCAUCUAUCUAUGUAUCUAUCUAUCUAUCUAUCCAUCUAUCUAUCUAUCUAUCAGUUGUGAAAAAUCUUAAAUGUUUAUUUGUUCGAUAAAAUCUAUUUAUCUAUCUAUUUAUCUAUCUAUCUAUCUAUCCAUCAGUUGUCAAAAAUCUUAAAUGUUUAUUUGUUCGAUAAAAUAAAAUCUA